AAUUCGAUUUGGAGGGCAAGUCUGGUGCCAGCAGCCGCGGUAAUUCCAGCUCCAAUAGCGUAUAUUAAAGUUGUUGCAGUUAAAAAGCUCAUAGUUGAAUUUCGGGAUCAGCAUAUCGGUCAUGCCUUCUUGGCUUGCACUGGUGCUGUUGAUCUCCCCCUUCUAGCGAAUCGUUAUGUCUUUAAUUAGGCGUAACGGGGAACUAGGACUGUUACUUUGAAAAAAUUAGAGUGUUUAAAGCAGGCUUUACGCUUGAAUACAUUAGCAUGGAAUAAUGAAAUAGGACGGCAUGAUCCUAUUUUGUUGGUUUCUAGGGUCACCGUAAUGAUUAAUAGGGAUAGUUGGGGGCAUUAGUAUUCAAUUGUCAGAGGUGAAAUUCUUGGAUUUAUUGAAGACUAACUACUGCGAAAGCAUUUGCCAAGGAUGUUUUCAUUAAUCAAGAACGAAAGUUAGGGGAUCGAAGACGAUCAGAUACCGUCGUAGUCUUAACCAUAAACUAUGCCGACUAGGAAUCAGACUCAGUUUAUUUUUUAAUGACGAGUUCGGCGCCUUACGGGAAACAAUCA
rnacentral:rRNA from 1 species